rnacentral:lncRNA from 1 species
GGAAGUGUCAAAUUGGAAAGAAAAACUCGAGUUGAGGACAUACAGGAAAGAUUUUCAGUUUGGGUGUCAAAUAAGAAAGGACCAUUAUUUUUAGGGCUAAAUAGGAAAUUUUCUCUCAUUUUAAUGCAGCAACGUAACACAUUAAAGGUACAAUCCACAAGCGGCAACGCAACACAUUAAAGGUACAAUCCACAAGAACUAUUUCCAGCUCUAGACCAGUUUAUAGAUGAUUCCAACAUUGAACUUUAUCCAGCAUCAGUCGGUUUCACCCAGCUAAAAACAGAAACAGAUCACGCUAGACGACAAGCUAUAUCAACUGCCCGAGCUAUUC